AUGAUCUUCACUCUUGCAAUUUCCCCCCUUCAUUGGCUAUUUGAUAAGGCUUCAGAUGCUCAGCUACUCACUCCACUCCGCUUGCCACCCUCCCAGCUUCGAGUGAGCCUGUACGCCGACGAUGCUGCAUUGUUCAUCUCGCCCAAGGCAACCGACAUCAAGAUCACCAAGGAGAUCCUUGGUUGUUUUGGCUCUGCCUCUGGCCUUGUUUGCAAUAUACAGAAGAGUGGUUCCUUCCCAAUUUGUUGUGAAGACAUCGACCUAGUUUCACUCUUGCAGCAGCUCCCGGUACCCGUUCUUCAAUUCCCUUGCACCUAUCUCGGGCUUCCCCUGCACUACAAGAACAUCACUCGAGCAGACAUCCAGCCCAUCCUUCAUAAGCUUGCGUCCAAGCUCCAAAAGAACUUCCUUUGGAGAUCGAAGCCCGACGCCGAGGGAGGACUUGCUUUGGUGAACUGGUCCACCGUCUGCCGCCCUAAGAGCCUGGGUGGACUCGGCGUCAUUGACCUUAAGCGCUUUGGCAGGGCCUUGCGCCUGCGAUGGAAAUGGCUUGAAUGGCGCAACCAAGAUAGGCCUUGGAUUGGCUCUCCCAUUCCCUAUGACAAGGACGACCUCGCCUUAUUUGCUGUGGCAACUAACAUCUCCAUCGGUUCAGGAAUGCGUGUCAAGUUCUGGCAUGAUCGUUGGCUUGCCGGUGAUGCCCUGGGCCAGAUCGCGCCGGACUUACUUCGUCUAUGGUACAGGAAAAACCUCACUGUCAAGAAGGCACUAAAUGGGCAGCAUUGGCUUUCAGGUCUGCAACGUAUUUCCUCUGAGUCUGAGAUGAGGCAGUUCACCAAUCUCUGGGCAAGGCUGCGCAACAUUAUUCUUGACCCAGCGACGCAUGAUGAGAUCACGUGGAACUGCAACGCUGCUGCAGCCUACACCACAAGCUCGGCCUACAGCUGCCAAUUCCUUGGCUCCUUUUCCGUCGCCAACUACGACAAGCUCUGGAAGUCCAAGGUCGAGGCCAAAUGUAGGUUCUUCUUCUGGCUCUUUCUCAAAGGCAAGAUACUCACCAAUGACAACCUGGCCAAGCGGGGAAUUUCCCAUGGCCCCAAGUGCGCCCUAUGUGAUCAGUCUGAGGAAUCGGAGCUACAUCUCAUCAUCCAGUGCCCGUUUGCAUGA
rnacentral:rRNA from 1 species